GGCGCGGCGGCCGGCGCGGGCUGCUGGUGCUCGAUCAGAUCGAGGGUCUGCGGGCCGAGCGCGGGCAGCGUGACGUUCUGCGUCGCGACCGCGCCG
rnacentral:tRNA from 1 species